UCGGGAAUUUUGGGCAAUGGGCGAAAGCCUGACCCAGCAACGCCGCGUGAGGGAUGAAGUAUUUCGGUAUGUAAACCUCGAAAGAAUGGGAAGAAUAAAUGACGGUACCAUUUAUAAGCUCCCGCUAACUACGUGCCAGCAGCCGCGGUAAUACGUAGGGAGCAAGCGUUGUUCGGAUUUACUGGGCGUAAAGGGCGCGUAGGCGGCGCGGUAAGUCACUUGUGAAAUCUCUGAGCUUAACUCAGAACGGCCAAGUGAUACUGCUGUGCUAGAGUGCGGAAGAGGCAACCGGAAUUCUUGGUGUAGCGGUGAAAUGCGUAGAUAUCAAGAGGAACACCUGAGGCGAAGGCGGGUUGCUGGGCCGACACUGACGCUGAUGCGCGAAAGCCAGGGGAGCAAAC
rnacentral:rRNA from 1 species